rnacentral:rRNA from 1 species
GUUAAAAAGCUCGUAGUUGGAUUUCUGGUGGGCGCAUCCGGUCCGCUCCGCAAGGAGUGUGCACUGGCGAUGUCGCCGGCCACUUUUACGGCGAACGAUUCUGGCAUUAAGUUGUCGGGGUCGGGAGCCGUAUCAUUUACUGUGAAAAAAUUAGAGUGUUUAAAGCAGGCAUUUGCUGUGAAUACAUUAGCAUGGAAUAAUAAGAUAGGACUUUGGUGCUAUUUUGUUGGUUUGCACGCCAAGGUAAUGAUUAACAGGGACAGUUGGGGGUAUUCGUAUUUUGAUGUCAGAGGUGAAAUUCUUGGAUUUUCGAAAGACGAACUUCUGCGAAAGCAUUUACCAAGGAUGUUUUCAUUAAUCAAGAACGAAAGUUAGGGGAUCGAAGAUGAUUAGAUACCAUCGUAGUCUUAACCAUAAACUAUGCCGACUAGGGAUUGGCGGACGUUAAUCAAUGACUCCGUCAGCACCUUACGAGAAAUCAAAGUCUUUGGGUUCCGGGGGGAGUAUGGUCGCAAGGCUGAAACUUAAAGGAAUUGACGGAAGGGCACCACCAGGAGUGGAGCCUGCGGC